rnacentral:rRNA from 1 species
CCUACGGGUGGCAGCAGUGAGGAAUAUUGGUCAAUGGGCGAGAGUCUGAACCAGCCAAGUCGCGUGAAGGAUGACGGCCCUACGGGUUGUAAACUUCUUUUGUCAGGGAGCAAUUGAGUCCACGUGUGGUCUUAGCGAGAGUACCUGAAGAAAAAGCAUCGGCUAACUCCGUGCCAGCAGCCGCGGUAAUACGGAGGAUGCGAGCGUUAUCCGGAUUUAGUGGGUUUAAAGGGUGCGUAGGCGGAAUAUCAAGUCAGCGGUAAAAAUUCGGGGCUCAACCCCGUCGUGCCGUUGAAACUGAUGUUCUUGAGUGGGCGAAACGUAUGCGGAAUGCGUGGUGUAGCGGUGAAAUGCAUAGAUAUCACGCAGAACUCCGAUUGCGAAGGCAGCAUACCGUCGCCCAACUGACGCUGAAGCACGAAGGCGUGGGUAUCGAACAGGAUUAGAUACCCGAGUAGUC